UCAGUAUCUACAAAUACAUUGUAACAGGAAUAUAUUCAAGUAGAAAAGAAGGGGAACUUCUAGAAUAACCAGUGUGUUAUACUUUCACAAAAUACAGAAAUUAUAUUGCACAGAAAAGUCUUCUAAGAUAUCAGUAAUGGGUCACAUAAUUUAAUUUAUGUCUUUAUUGUGCCACAGCGCCCAAGUGUCUGCAUAUACUGAUCAGAAAUAGAUAUGACAUCAUUAUAUGCUCCUUAUUGAUUAUCGGCCUCUAAUCUCUUAUUAGACCAUGAGAUCAAUGAAGGCACGGUUCCUGUCAUGUAUCCCCUAUAUCUAACACAGUUCUUGGCACAUAAUAGGUGCUUACUAAUACAAGUUUGUUCUUUGAGUACGAAAACUUCCCAUGUUCCCCAAGGCAUUGCAUAUAACAUGGUAAAUUAAUGUUUGAUAAAUGAAGGUUAAACCUGGAAGGGAGUAGAGAGAUAAUCUAAUCUAACCAGUUUAUUUUACAGAUGAGGAAACAACUCCAAAUACUUUAAACAAUUAGUUCAAGGUCAAAAUUUGCUAGUUAGUGGCAGACCUGGGACUCAAUCACAGAUUGCCUUAUUCCUAAAUCCAGUGUUCUUUUCCCUGACAUCUUAUCAAUAGUCACAAGAAUUAACGAGAUUUUAAGAUGUAGAAAGAGUACUAGUUUAACCCCCUUGAAUUACAGGUUUUACUGAUGCUCUUGGGUAAAGUUACUUGGCUGAAGUAGUAUCAGAGCUAGGACUUGAAUCCAAAUAUGACUAAACAGUCAGUAAAGGACUGAGAUGAAAUUGAAGAAUCUUGUUAUAUUAAAAUUUGCUGUUUUAGUUAAGAUAGAUUAUCCAUGAUAAAAUGGGGAGAAACAACUAUUAGAUUUCAAAGGAAACACUUUCUUUUUCUUAUUAGUCUUACCCAGCCCAUUCUUAAAAAUGGAGGCAGAGGUAGGAGGGAGAGACAAUCCUUUGUAAUUUCUAUUCUUUCCAUGUUCUUUAUUCAAACUUAGCUUUAUUCUCAUCUUCCUUUGAUUCUCUUUUGUAGUCAGUGGCCUCUCAGAACAAAAAAGGGAAAAAAAACUACAGAAGAUGAGAAAUAAAAGGGAAUUUCCUCAGCCAGUUUCAUAGAGAUCAAAAAAUCUUCUGGCCUGAAAGUGAAUAAACAGAAAGAAACAGGUUGUGGGGAGCUAAAGUGUAUUGGUGUCAGAGGUAAGGGAAGAGCGCCCAUAAGAAGCAACUAAAGGUGGAGAAUAACUAACCGACAAAGCUCUGGAGCUCAGUGAUCCUGUGUACAUAGUAGAUGAUGUCAAGCCCUUGCAGUUUCCUUAAGGUGAGGCAGUGAUGGGGAGCAAAGAGGACCAGCCACAGCACCGCAGGCGACUCUUCCCAGCUCUCACCCAUCUCUCUUGCAGAAAAGUAUCCGAAGACUUGCUAACUCAGAGGAUCUGUGCCAUUUCUUCUGGGCACAUGGAGCUCCCUGAGGGGUCCCUGAGAGGGCAGGGUCCUUGGGGCCUGAAUGACAUCACCGGGGAAUGAAUAGGAAGGGAAUCUGGAUCAUCUGGAACUGAGUUCUGAAUAAGGUAAGAGUCAAAAGGAACUAUGUCCAAAAGCUGUCUAUCCUUUGAAGGUAAGCAGAGAUUCUUACUGAGGGCCUGUGAAAGUUACUUUUGAGAUAUUUUCAUAACUUCUAAUGCAAUUGGUUUCCUUUAUAAUUCUAUACAUUUCAUUUUAUGCAUUAUAGAUACUAUUUGGAUGACUCCAUAGGACUCACUAAACUGACUAGGGGGUUCAUGACAUAAAAAUGCUUAAUAACUCCUGGCUGGGAAGUAUUGGCAAAAUUCUCUAUUUGUCCUGAUUCCAGAGAGGAAGAAAGCCUUUGAUUGCCCCGUUCUGUUCUUUCCAGGCCCCCAAACUGGAUCUUACUCCAGUGGUUGAGACCACUCAACCAGAACCAUGGCCAUCACCCUGAGAUCUUUACCAGCCUGUCCCCCCAAGGCUCUCUUAUACAACAGCCCUGGGCUUUGCAGCUCACCCUACUGGGAGGAUCUGCCAGGAUCCUAUUUCCUCAAGAUAACCUAGUUGCUGAAUGAGUGGCUGCCAACUUCUGGUUGGGUAUGCUUCCCAUUGAGGCAAAGCAUUAUUCCUCAGGAGCCAGGGCUGCUAGGCAGAGGACUAGCACAGUGGUAUCCCAGUCAGAGGCUACUCAAUUGUACAUAAGGACCAUUGUGGCCACAAGCUGAUUUAGAAAACUCCAUUUUAGUAUUAUCCAUGUACAACUGUAUUUUUCCUUACUUUGUUAAAAAUUUUCCCUCUAUGUUUUAAUCUGGUUUAGCUACACUAGAGGAUGCUGGGCUGCUGUUUGAUACCUCUAGGGUAAUAGGCGAGUAAGCCUCUGGUGUAGUGUCAGCCUCAUAUUGAGGGGCACUACUAUCUAAGGGAUCACAAAUGUACCAUUUCCUCUUAAUGCAAUGGCUUUCAUCUUGUUAGAGGACCACCUUGCAGUUUCCAGCUCAUAACACCCACGAAAAAUUCCAGUCAACUGUUUUAUAGACAAGAAUUCUCAAAAAUAUUAACCCCAUCCUAAGAGGCUGGGAGCAAGUGGCCUGCUUUAAGAUUUUCAAGGUGAUAUUUUAUUCUGGAUCCCAUAAGGACCCCAAGGAGGGGAAAUGUGGAUUCUCUGAAUUGAAAGAAAGCCUUUGGACUUCUUUUUUAAAACUGGGAAAGUGAGAGGGCAGCUGGGUAGCUCAGUGGAUUGAGAGCCAGGCCUAGAGAUGGGAGGUCCUAGGUUCAAAUUUGGCCUCAGACACUUCCCAGCUGUGUGACCCUGGGCAAGUCACUUGACCCCCAUUGCCUAGCCCUUAUUGCUCUUCUGCCUUGGAGCCAAUACACAGUAUUGACUCUAAGGUGGAAGGUAAGGGUUUAAAAAAAAAAACUGGGAAAGUGAGUGUCAGUAGCUUGUUUGGAACUGUGUCCAGAAUCAUUUGUGUUUUCCAUAUACACUGUAUUCCCUAAACUUGAUUGGGCAGCCUAUACCCAGGAUUUUCUUAAUAGUUGAAAUUCCACCCCUUGCGCCUAUGGGUCAUCAUCUAUUGAAUGGGGCCUGUUAAGAUUAAAAUUGCCAAACUGUUGCAGGUAAAAAUUAGUUUCUCUGCUAGAAGUAUUAUAUUUUAUGAGGUUUAUUAAAGGUUAAGAAUUAAAGAAAAUAUAGAAUUUCACAACCACUCACAUCUUGCCUGCUACCAUGAAGAAGCCUCCAGACCACAAUCUGCACAAAAAGAUCAAGAAUGAACUUUGGGUGUGGUUGAUUGAACAUUUAUUUGUAUGUAUACUUUCAUGCCAAAGGGGACUGCCCCCUAACUGGCCUUUUGUCAAUGCAUCCAGCAAUUAUUGGUUUUGUUUUUUUUUCCCUCUUAUCCUCAAAUUAUUGUAAUCUUUAGGUUGAUUAUGUUUUCGUAAUCCUUUGGGAAAAGCCUUUUUCCCCAGAGGAUCAUACAAAGAUUUGUAAAAAUGGAGAUUUGAACCCCGGACUUCAAUUCCCCAGAAGUCCUUGGACACUUCCCAGAAUGCUUUGUAAUCUCACUGAGAUCCUCACCUGGGCGAGAUCAAAAUUUCUAUUUAACUGGCUGUAAAAGCCUACUAAUCUCCUCUUCCUACUUUCGCUUCGGAUCUCCAUUUUUACAGGCCUCUGCCACUGUGGCUUUGUCUGGCCUUGCCAACAUUGGCGUCAGUGUAGUUUGGGCUAUUGUGGUAGCCUCAAAGUCUCUCCCUGCUCCAAUCCCAGCCUCCAUUCCCCACAAAAUCUAAGGUCUAAUCUUGUCACUGCCCUACUUAAAUUGGCUCCUUUUCACCUCCAGAAGGGUACUUAAAGCCUUUCAUAACCCGGCCUUCUCCUACCUCUCCAGCCUUCUUAGACCUCCUGGCUGCUACACAAACAAAACACUUCAUCUCUCAGCUCCAGGCGUUCUCCCUGGCUGGCUCCCAACUAAAAUCUCAUCUUCUACAGGAAGCCUUUCUUAACCUCUCUUACUUUCAGUACCUUUCCUCUGCCAGUUAUUUCCUAUUUAUCCUAUAGAUGGCCUAUACGUAUAUCUUGGUUUAUUGUCUUUCUCAUUAGGUCGGAAGCUCCUUAAAGGCAGGUACCGUCUUUUUGUACCCCCAGUGCUUAACUCAGUGCCUGGCAUAUAGGCCCUUCAUGUUUAUUGACAUUGGACAUGACAGUGCCCUCCGUCAGGGAGGCUUUUUCAGGUCCUUACUCACCAGAGUAACCAAUGGGUCGGAGAGUUAGGGGGAUAGCUACCCCAAGCAGGGGAAGACUUUUCCCAGGAAAAUGAGCAGAUUCCACUGGCCAUGGAGGUGGCUGAAGCAGGCACUGUGGAGUCUUAGAGCUGGGUCAGACAUAAGACAUAGCAAGAGUGUCCACUGUAUCCCAGACCACCCCCCAUCUUCCCGACUUCUGUCUUAUCAUGGGACCUGGAUGGCAGGAAGAGAGGGUGAGGCUGAUGAUUUUGUGUAACUGCCUCACUGAAAUCUGUUCCAUACACAAGUGUAGACAUGGCCCGCCCCAUGAUGCCACAGGUCCUCUCUGAAAAUGCAGGAGUGUGAGCGUGAGGAGGAAUUUGCAUAAUCCCGGGGACAUGGGGAAGGCAUUUUGAUCACAAUUCAUUUACUACAUCUUGCAUGCCGAGUAGAGAGACCCAUGUGCUUAGAAGCAGAAGAAGAGAGAGCUUGGGAAGCAGAGAGCACUUUAAAUACUAAAUUGUGUUCUUGCAUGCAGGUGAGGACUCAGAUGAGAUUAUAGGGAAUUCUGGGAAGUACAAGAACAAAGAAGCUUGAUACUAAGCUUGAUACUGGCACCACAUCACCACCAGAGGCAGGGGCCGAGGCUACCUGCUCUCCUACAGGGAUGCGGGCAGGAGCAAUGGAAGCAGUACUGUGCCUACUUUAUUCUGUGUCCUGUGGUCACUGUACGUAGCCGGCACUGCCGUGCCUUCUUAUGGGCCACACAGGAUUGUGGUAGUGGGAGUUGUUCUCUCUACGUGUACAGGGAGAGUGGCUUUUAGUUUCUUUAUUUUGGCAAUCUGGACUUUCUACAACUAUUAGCAAUAAUUAGGGAACGCCAUUCCUGAAGUUACCUUUAUCCUCUGCAGACUCACUGGACCAAUGAGGGCAGCAGGGCUCCCAGGAGCCCCAUCUCAGUAACACUGGGAAAGCUCAGCCAUGGCAGCCUGAUCAUGCUGUCUUUUGAACAAAUCCUGUAGAUUACUGUUCCCCGCCCUGGAGCAUGAGCUUCUUCUGAAGUAGAUAUGUGUGAGGAGAAAUGAAUGCCGCAGUCAUGGAAAAUGUUACUUAUAUUUGAGAUAUUUUCUCCCUUAAUCCUUUCCUCAGUAAAUGAUGCUAAAUUGACUGCUUAAAAAGCAAAUACAUUUUGUGUGCUAUUGUCUGCUAAAGUAAAGUUCAUCAUGCCUCAUUCUUUUAGGACAUACUCACCAAGGACUGGUCAAAAGCAUACAGGUUUCCACAUUUAGUCUAAGGCGUGCAAAGUAUGUGUCCUCUUAUAAUAAGUCAGAACAACAGUUAAGUGUCAUUCUAAGGAGUCAUCUGCUGCAAAGAGCUGAGAGACUUUUUUUUAAAAAAUAAUAUUUUAUUUGAUCAUUUCCAAGCAUUAUUCAUUAAAGACAAAGAUCAUUUUCUUUUCCUCCCUUCCCACCCCCCAUAGCCGACGCAUGAUUCCAUUGGGUAUCACAUGUGUUCUUGAUUCAAACCCAUUGCCAUGUUGUUAGUAUUUGCAUUAGAGUGUUCGUUUAGAGUCUCUCCUCUGUCAAGUCCCCUCAACCGCUGGAGUCAGGCAGUUGCUUUUCCUCGGUGUUUCUACUCCCUCAGUUUGUCCUCUGCUUAUGGAUAGUGUUUUUUCUCCUGGAUCCCUGCAAGUUGUUCAGGGACAUUACACCGCCACUAAUGGAGAAGUCCAUUACGUUCGAUUAUACCACAGUGUAUUAGUCUCUGUGUACAAUGUUCUCCUGGUUCUGCUCCUCUCGCUCUGCAUCACUUCCUGGAGGUCGUUCCAGUCUCCAUGGAAUUCCUCCACUUUAUUAUUCCUUUUAGCACAAUAGUAUUCCAUCACCAACAUAUACCACAAUUUGUCCAGCCAUUCCCCAAUUGAAGGGCAUCCCCUCGUUUUCCAGUUUUUGGCCACCACAAAGAGCGCAGCUAUGAAUAUUUUUGUACAAGUCUUUGUGUCCAUUAUCUCUUUGGGGUACAAACCCAGCAGUGCUAUGGCUGGAUCCAAGGGUAGAUAUUCUUUUAGCACCCUUUGGGCAUAGUUCCAAAUUGCCCUCCAGAAUGGUUGGAUCAAUUCACAACUCCACCAGCAAUGAAUUAAUGUCCCGACUUUGCCACAUCCCCUCCAGCAUUCACUACUUUCCUUUGCUAUCAUGUUAGCCAAUCUGCUAGGUGUGAGGUGGUACCAAAGAGCUGAGAGACUUGAAGAAAUUACCUGAGUGAAAUAAAACAUUGCCCUUUGAGAGAGAAUAUUCCCAGUUUCUGGAACUUGUUCAGAGGAGGCCAAACAUCUACAUUCCCCUAAAAUACUUUGGAUAAGGGGGAAGCUGGGUAGCUCAGUGGAUUGAGAGUCAGGCAUAGAGACAGGAGGUUCUAGGUUCAAAUCUGGCCUCAGACACUUCCCAGCUGUGUGACCCUGGACAAGUCACUUGACCCCCAUUGCCUAGCCCUUACCUCUCUUCUGCCUUGGAGCCAAUCCACAGUAUUGACUCUAAGAUGAAAGGUAAUGGUUAUAAUUUUAAAUAAUAAAAUAAAAUACUUUGGAUAGGGCAAGAACAUGGCUUUUUUACUGAGUCACAGGAAGCCACCUUUCAGAGGGAUGAGAGGAAAGCAGCUAAUGCCCUUUUCUUGACAGCACUAUUUUCCCAAAGUGUAUCUGUCCACACCGCCAGUUACCUUCUGGUGAUUCUUAGUGCUGGGUACAUCUGUAGAUGUUAAACACAAACACAAAAGGAUGUGCAGGUGAACAUGUUAAGUGAUGGGGCAAAGAGGACAGGAAAUGGAAGUAAGGAAAAUGAAAGAGCUCUUGCCUCUUGACAGAAAUGUGUUUGGUUUUUUGUUCAGUAUUUCUUAGCAGUUAUUAUUAUAAACUUGCCAAAAGAACAUUGACACUAAAGAUAAAGUGGGAGAGAGGUUGAGCAUUAAAUCCACUCAUGCAAAUGAGUUCAAAUCAAAUGCUCCAAUUUUUUUAGCCUUCAUGUUUUGCUUUGAAUUUUCCGUGGUGCAAACCACUAUAAUUAUGGGUCUUGUCUCUUCUGCUUUGAUCAUACUUAAACAAUAUUGAUGAACUUUAAUUUCCUUCCUCUAAACUAAUAGUAAUGCGCUUGCAUACCCUACUUAAUAUGUUAGAGAAGGCUUCAGACCUUUUUCUAUACUAGAAUAUAGUCUUUUUCUAAUAAAAGGUAUUUCUCACAUACCAUGUUAAAAUCUAUAAGAAAGUAUAUAUGUCAUGUUGUUAUAUUAUAUGCAAUAUACCUAUUUCACAGCUAGAUGGCUCAGUGGCUAGAGAGCCAGGCCUGAAGACAUGAGAUCCUGAGUUCAAAUUUGGCCUCAGAUACUUCCUAGCUGUGUGCCCCUGGGCAAGUCACUUACCCCCAGUUGUCUAGACCUUAUUGACCUUCUGCCUUGGGACCAAUACUUAAAGGGUUUAACAUUUUGAAAAAUUAUUUGUGUAAAUGUGAAGCUAUUGCAUAACUUAAAGACAUGCCUCUUUCAUUUCUUAAUCUCAUACCAACUUUUUUGCCAACCUAUUCUGUGCCCACCUUCACAUCGAAGUCAUUAAGUGAGGAUGAUCUUGUCAAGUUUUUUUUUUCUUUUGUUGGUAAAAUGUCCCAUCUCGUCAUUCUUUAUAACUAAUAUUAGCAUGUAAGUGGUGGCAGUCCUCAUGGUGGUCCCUUUGAUGCGCUUAUUGUGAACACUUCAAGAAAGAUGACCAAAUGCUCCAUGCAAUGAUGUUUCUUAUUCUUGGGAACUCAAACCAACACUUUCAUCUCCUUAGGAGAACCUGGGAGCCAUCCUGUUAAGUUAUAACUUUUGUCUUCAGAUUUCAUUUAUGUGAGGAUGUCAAUGUUGAUGUAUUUCAUUUCCUCUAGUAUAAAAUCAACUUAGUUGUUGAGCAAGGAUCUCACACAUGUAAAGCAUCCAUGUGGAAAUUACCUCAUGGUAGCUUCCCUAAUGACUGCUCCUCAUACUACCUCACACCUAGCAGAUUGGCCAAUAUGACAGUAAAGGGAAAUAACUAUUGGUGGGGAUGUGGAAAAAUUGGGACACUAAUGCAUUGUUGGUGGAGUUGUGAAUUGAUCCAACCAUCCUGGAAGGCAAUUUGAAAAGUAUGCCCAAAGGGCUUUAAAAGACUGCCUGCCCUUUGAUCUAGGUACUAGGUCUGUAACCCAAAGAGAUAAAAAAAAAAUUGGUAAAGGAUCUAUUUGUACAAAGAAAGUCAUAGCUGUGCUCUUUGUGGUGGCAAAAUGUUGGAAACUGAGGGAAUGUUCCUCAAUUGGGGAAUGGCUGAACAAAUUGUGGUAUAUGUUGGUGAUGGAAUACUAUUGUGCUGUAAGAAAAGAUGAAUGGGAUGAAUUCAGAAAGAGCUGGAAAGACCUUCAUGAGCUGAUGCAGAGUGAAGUAAACAGAACCAGAAGAAUAUUAUACACAGUAACUGAAACAUUGUGGGACGGUCAAUGUAAUUGAAUUUGCUACUAAUGGCAAUGCAAUGAUCAAGAGCAAUCCAGAGGAACUUAUGAGAAAGAACGCUCUCCACAUCUAGAGAAAGAACUGUGGGAGCAGAAAUGCAGAGGAAAAACAUAUGUUUGAUCCCUUAGAAUAUAUGAUUUGGGGUUUUGGUUUUAAAAGAUUACUCUAUUGCAAAAAUGAAUACUAUGGAAAUAGGUUUUGAGUGAUAAUACAUGUAUAACCCAGUGGAAUUGCUUGUCAGUUCAGGGAAGGGGGGGAAGGAAAAGGGGAGGGAGACAACAUGAAUCAUGUAACUAUGGGGAAAAUAUUUUUUUAAUUAGUUCAUUUAAUUAAUUAGUCUUCUGGUACUGAGUUAUUGCAGACUUAGCUGGACUGAGUAUUGGGCAUUUGAGAAAAGAAAACAAUAGAGCAUUAUUAUUUUACAGAACAUUGAAAACCUGUGGAAGGGGGGGAGAAAAAGAAAGACAAGAAAGCUUGUCAUGAGACUUGCCCAAGUCAUACCAUCCCUAGAAUAUGUAGGGAUGAAACUGUAAGUAGUACAGUAAAAAUAUAUGCAAGUCUUAAUCUUUCAAUAUUUCUAGAGCAAUUAAUGAUAGUGGAAACUCCAUUUUUUGAUGCAGUAUUUGAUAUGCUGGAUGAAGAAACAACCCUUAAGACAAUGAAGUUGAGAAAUAUGCAAGGGAAAUCCAUAUUGAAGGUGAAAUCAUUUUAAAGCUAUUCCUGGAAUAUCACAAGCUCAUCAGAAUCAGAAUUUCAGAUGACUAAUAAAAAGCAGUAGAGAAGUAUAUGGUGCAUGUAAGGAGACUGAAAUGUUACCAAUGAUGACAUUCAGGCUGAGAAGCAGUGUAAAGGAUGUUAGUAAAAUGUGCAUGGACAUGACCAACAAGAUGGAGAACUAGACAUUUUCUCUGAUCCUUAUGACCUCUAAAACUGCUCCAAAAUAGGAAUUAUACUCAACUCUGUUCCAGUCCCUCUACUCCCUUUGCCUUGGAAAACCAAAAGACAGAAGCUGGUUCUAGUGGAAACUAUAACUCGGCAACACACUGAAUGAGGGCAGAUGCCAGAGAUGCCCUUGGCUUGAUGCAAAAAGGACUAGCAUCCACCUGGGUUCAAUUCUUUCCCCACCGAAGCUACUUGGAUGGCCCAGUGAGGGAGGAGGUCAAGACAAUUUUAAGGUCCUCUAGGGAGAUUAUCAUCAAAAAGAAAAAAUUCAGCAAUAGGAGAAUAUAGGGGGGGAAACAGAGAAAUUUCCAAAGAUCUCAGAGGCAAGAAGGCUCAGUUAAAGACCUUGAGCACAAGCAAAUAAACCAGCAGGGAAAAUAUUAACAAAAGGGAAGGUGGCCUCUGGAUCAGCCAAAUAUGAAUAAAUAUUGCAAGACAAAAGGAAACGAGUCAACAGCUGAUAAAGGCAGAGAACCUGUGGGUUCUGAAGAGAGCAUGGAACCCUAGCAGGCUAUACCUGAGGGAUGAAGGUGAGAAAUAAGAAUUGUGAAAGCAGAAAUCAUGGUCUCUAUUGCAGAAAUAAUUAGCAGAAUAGAAAAACUUGAAUACAUGGUAGCAAACCUCACAAAAGAAACAAAACAGCAAUGCACUGAGAAUGUAAAUACACAGAAGUAAAACAUUAUCUGGAAGAAGAGAAGCAAGAAAACUCAUCAAUUUUAAAGAAAAUAUGAUCUCCAUAAGACAAACACCAAUAUUGAAGACAGGAUGUAUAGAGGCCAGUUAAGGAUUCUGAGUCUCUUAGAAAAACAUGGUAGGUGGUUCUGUGAAUAGAGUGCUAGACAUAGAGUUGGGAAGACCAGAAUUCAAAACCAGUCUAAGACGCGCUAGCUGUGUGACCCUGGACAAGUCACUACCUCAGUUUCCUGAGCUCUAAAUGGGAAUAACACCUAGCUUCUAAGGUUUUUUUAAGGAUCAAAUGUGAUAUUCAUAAAGCAUUUGGCAUAGUGGCUGGCACACAGUAGGUGCCUUAUAAAUAUUUUGUUUCCUUCUUUUAUUCCUUUCAAAUGUAAGAAAUUUGCCCAGAACUUCUGAACAAAGAAAAUAAAGUACCAACUGAAAGAAUCCAUGGCAGUGGAUAGAGAGCCAGGCCCAGAGACAGGAGGUAUCCUGGGUUUAAAUCUGGCCUCAGACACUUCCUGGCUGUUUGACCAUGGGCAAGCCACUUAACCCCUAUGCCAACCCUUUAUUGCUCUUCUGCCUUGGAACCAAUGCACAGAACUGAUUCUAUGGUGGAAGAUAAGGGUUUAAAAAAAAAAAACAUCCACAAAUUACCUCCAGAAAAAAAUCUCAUACCAUGAGAUCAAAGACACAUGGUGGUUAGUUUAACAAUUUCAGUGACAACAAAUUCUGUAUAUAACUAGGAGAAAGACCUCAAUUAGAAAAGAAAGGAAGACCAUCAGCAAACAUCAUGUGCAACGGGGAUAAACUAGAAGCCUUCCCAAUAACAUCAGGCAGGAGUCAAACAAUGCCAUUAUCAUCUCUAUUAUUUAACAUUGUACUAGAAACACGCUAGCAGUAGCAAUUAGAGAAGAAAAAGAAAUUGAAGGUAUUAAAAUAGGCAAUGAGGAUACUGGAUGACAUGAUGGUCUACUUAAAGAAUCCUAGAGAAUCAACCUAAAAGCAAGUGGAAAUAAUCAACAACUUUAGCAAAGUUGCAGGAUACAAAAUAAACCCGCAUAAGUCAUCAGCAUUUCUAUAUAUCUCUAACCCAUUUCAGCAGCAGGAAUUAGAAAGAGAAAUUCCAUUUAAAAUCACCAUAGACAAUAUAAAAUACUUAGGAAUCUAUCUCCCGAGACAAACACAGAAACUAUAUGAACACAACUACAAAACACUCUCCACACAACUAAAACUAUAUCUGAGCAAUUGGAAAAGCAUUAACUGCUCAUGGGUAGGAUGAGCAAAGAUAAUAAAAAUGACCAUCCUACCCAAACUUAUUUAUCUAUUUAGUGCCAUACCCAUUGAACUACCAAAAAACUUUUUUACUGAAUUAGAAAAAAACAUAACAAAGUUCAUUUGGAAGAAUAAAGGAUCAAGGAUAUCCAGGGAAAUAAUGGGAAAAAAAUACCAAGGAAGGUGGCCUUGCAGUCCCAGACCUCAAACUAUAUUACAAAGCAGCAGUCAUCAAAACAAUUUGGUACUGGCUAAGAGACAGAAAGGAGGAUCAGUGGAAUAGACUUGGGGUAAAUGACCUCAGUAAGACAGUCUAUGACAAACCCAAAGAUGUGAAGAGGCAUGAAGAGACAAAGGUUUUGUAGGACAAGCCAAGAUGCAAGAGACUAAGCUGGGGACCUGUCUUAUCAAGACGAAGAAUCUAAAAUGAAAUGUUCCCAGGAGGAGUGGAAGUUGAGUUGAUGAGGGGGAGGGGACUGGGAGUGUGACUCUCUCUGGCAGUUGAGGCUGGCAGUUGGGGCUGGCUGAAGACCCUGUUUGUGUUGUUUUGGGGGGCUUUCUGGUCAAGGGGAGACCCCUGCACUCUCUGAGAUUUUGACUGACCAAGAGUUGGGGUUUUUCUGACCACAGAGGGAGGAGAAGGAGAAACUUGGCUUUUAAGUUGGUUGUCUCUCUCUGAGAGUUUAAGCUGGCCAGGAGAAACUGAGAGACCUUGAUGGUGUUGUAAAAGAAGAGAGAAGAUUUUAGCUGUUGUCCUCCAUUUAUCUAACUGUUCCUCUUCUCACAUUUGUUACUGGACUAUUUCCAUAACCCUCUCAAAUUCCCCUUAUAGAUUAGGGAAACCCUCAUCCCACUUUCCUCAGUUUCUCAUCCUGUUAUCCCAAAUAAACCCCUACUUGAAAAAGGAAAAAAAAAGAUCUUUAUAGUUCAUUUAGGGAGGAGGGAAGAAGCCAAAGGCUUCAAGAAGAAUUGGGAGGUGAAGGGGGGCAGGGAGCAGAGGGUUGGAGAAGGGAGUGAGUGAAAGGGAGGAGGAGGUUAGAAAGAUAUACUGAUCCAUCAGCCAUCAGUAGGGAUCAGUAGGCAAACACCAGAGCAUUCCCCAGAGCAGUUCCCCUGUGUAGCAGUUCCCUUGUGUGGCAGCUUCAGGUUCCCCUGUAGCAGCUGCUCUCUAAUCUCAAGCCAGAGCAUUCAGUCACUGCAACAAAGUAAUAGUGUCACCACAGAUUUACACUUCUAUUUCAAGUAGAAAUAGUUUUCCUCAGUUUACCUCUCUAUUUCAAUCAGUUUCACUCAGUGUCACUACAGAUUUGCCACGUCUAUUUCAAGUGGCACCACGGAUUUACACUUCUAUUUCAAAGAUCCCAACUUUUGGGACAAAAAUCCACUAUUUGAUAAAAAUUGCUGGGAAAAUUGGAAGACAGUGUGGGAGAGAUUAGGUUUGGAUCAACACCUCACACCCUACACCAAGAUAAACUCAGAAUGGGUGAAUGAAUUGAACAUAAAGAAGGAAACUAUAAUUAAAUUACGUGAACACAGAAUAGUAUAUAUGUCAGAUCUUCGGGAAAGGAAAGAUUUUAAAACCAAGCAAGAGUUAGAAAAACUCACAAAAUGUAAAAUCAAUAAUUUUGAUUACAUCAAAUUUAAAAGUUUUUGUACAAACAAAACCAAUGCAACCAAAAUCAGAAGGGAAGUAACAAAUUGGGAAACAAUCUUCAUAAUAAAAACCUCUGACAAAGGUCUAAUUACUCAAAUUUACAAAGAGCUAAAUCAAUUGUACAAAAAAUCAAGCCAUUCUCCAAUUGAUAAAUGGGCAAGGGACAUGAAUAGGCGAUUUUCAGUCAAAGAAAUCAAAACUAUUAAUAAGCACAUGAAUAAGUGUUCUAAAUCUCUUAUAAUCAGAGAGAUGCAAAUCAAAACAACUCUGAGGUACCACUUUAUCUAGCAGAUUGGCUAACAUGACAGCAAAGGAAAGUAAUGAAUGGUGGAGGGGAUGUGGCAAAGUUGGGACAUUAAUUCAUUGCUAGUGGAGUGGUGAAUUGAUCUAACCAUUCUGGUGGGCAAUUUGGAACUAUACCCAAAGGGCACUAAAAGACUGUCUGCCUUUGAUCCAGCCAUAGCACUGCUGAGUUUGUUUCCCAAAGGGAUAAUAAAGAAAAAUAUAUAUACAAGAAUAUUCAUAGCUGUGCUCUUUGUGGUGGCAAAAAUUGGAAAAUGAGGGGAUGCCCUUCAAUUGGGGAAUGGCUGAACAAAUUGUGGUACCUGUUGGUGAUGGAAUAUUAUUGUACUCAAAGGAAUAAUAAAGUGGAGUAAUUUCAUGUGAACUGGAACAACCUCCAGGAAGUGAUGCAGAAUGAGCAGAGCAGAACCAGGAGAACAUUGUACACAGAGACUGAGACACUGUGGGACAAUUGAAUGUAAUGGAUUUCUCCAUUAGUGGCACUGCAGUGAUCCUGAAUAACCCAGAGGGAUCUAUGAGAAAGAACACUAUCCACAUUCAGAGGAAAAACUGUGAGAGUAGAAACACAGAAGAAAAGCAACUGCUUGACUACAUGGGUCAAGGAGGAUAUGCUUGGGGAUGUAAGCUCUAAAUGAUCACCCUAGUGCAAACAUCAACAACAUGGUAAUAGGUUCUGAUCAAGGACACAUGUAAUACUCAGUGGAAUUGCACGUUGGCUAUGGGAGGGGUGAGGGUAGGGGAGGGAGGGAUAGAAUAUGAUUCUUGUAACCAAGGAAUAAUGUUCUAAAUUGACUAAAUAAAAUUAAAAAAAAAGGAAAGGAAAGGAAGCUAGAUAAUAAAAGUUUAUUCUGCACACCCUAGAAACUGAAUAAGAAACACACCUAAAAACAAAGACAUAUGUAAUAGAAAUGAGGAGUUUGAACAAAAUUUGCAAGGAACUGAGUAAAUCCAAAAAAGUAGGAGUUUGCAAUCAUGCUAUCAGACAAAGCAAAAACAUAAAUCCCCCAAAUAAAGAUAUAAAUAAGGAAACCAUAUUAUUCUGAAAAGAACUGUAGAGGAUGACAAGCUAAUUAUCAAUAUUAUUAAACAUAUUUUACAAAAGAAGAUAGAUAUCACUAGAAAAGGAGGUGAUUAUAUAACAAGAUAAAUGAUAACAUAUGAGCAACUUGACUUUUGUACCAAUAUCUACAAAAUAUUGAGACCAGUGGGUUAAGAUCUUUGAAGUGUGGGGAUUGGACCUCUUUGGGAAAUUCAUGGAAGAACAUGGAAUAGAAUUGCCUUAGUCAAUAUCAAUAAAUGCUUCUUAAAUGCCUACUAUCUGCCAGGCCCUGUGCCAAGCCUUGGGGAUACAAAAAGAGGCAAAAGAUAGCUCCUACUGUCAAGGAGUUCACAAUCUCAUGGAUGAAUUCAGUCUGUGCCAGUAAAGGAAUUAUCCAUACCAGUGCUGUGAUGGUUCUGUAACCGCGAAAAUGUGGCUUCCAAGACUGAAUUGCCAAAACUGUAAAGGUUUCAGCCAAACUGUAAAGAUAAUUUUUAGUGUCUUGAUUUAUAUUAAAAAUAAGUGGUCACCAUGGGAAAAUUCCCAAAUAUGAAAAUACCCAAGUCAGCUGGGUUUUUAUGGAGAUUUUAAUUAAUACAAAUGAAGGAAUUAAGGGAAGGAGAGAGAGAGGGAGAAAGAGAAAAAUAGUAGAAGCUUUAAGGGAGAGAGAGUCAGUCUUUAUCACUCACCACAAGAUUGUCUCAAGCAAGUUCCAGUCCACUGAAAUCCUCAACUCCUGAACUGAGUUCAGAGCUCCAAUUUAGCUUCCCUAACUGAACUAGCAGCAAACUGAACUGAAUUCUCCUUUUAAAGAAAUUUUCUAUUAUGUCACCUCCCCUAAUUUUUCACAUCUACCAAUCACAGUAGAUGCUUUUACCCAGGACUACCCAUUCUUAGUUCUUACCAUUCUUUAGUUCUCACCUUCUCUGGGUAGAUUAUAUCUUUUGAGUACUUCACAUCUCUUUUGUUAAGCUUGCCUUUUGUAAGUUGCUUGACCUUUUAAUGAUUAAUUUAACUUUUUAUAGGUACUAGCACCCUUUUGUAUUAGAUCUAAAAAUAGACCACCUAGCUUAAGGUUUUUGUUUCACUAUAAGUAUAAGUUAGGGUCUUUCAUUGUUCAAUCAGGAGUUUACAACUUUAUAUUCCCCUAAGUCAGUGUCUGAGCAGGGUGAAGUAAUUUUGAAAGUUCUCAAUACAUUCCUGACCAAGUACCUCCAUUGUUAAAAAUGGAGAAUAGCUUCAUCAAAUCUUCUGAAGUAGAGUCAGAGCAGUUUUAAGAUUCACAGUUCCAUUGAAGUACUAGGAUAUAUAUUGUGAAUUUUAGUUUUACUCCACUCUUCUUAGUCUUUAGAAAUUCUAGCAACCAGGAACGUGUAUACCCCCACUUAAGGAUUGAGUGUAGGAGAGGAAUGCUUAUGACCGGCAUGUGCUAACAAGUGACAAAUCAGAAACAACUGACUGACCCCCUGGGCUGUCCUAAGCUAAGCUUAAGCCACCAUUGGCACAUGUGAGACACAGGAAGUGAUGUAAAGAACUGCCUUUAUAUUUUGCGUCACUUUCUAUGAGAGGGACCCUUGGCAGAAUUGGCCCUGGAACUCAAGCCUGGAGGAGCUCGGCAUGAGACCUCAGACUGCUUUCCUUUUAGAUGGUCAUGUGGUGAGUUAUAAGGCUGACUCCCCUUUCCCUUGGCUUCUGGAGAGGUCCCUUGGCCGAGGCCUCUGAACUCCUGCCUGGCUCAGUCUGUGCCAGAGCAGUUCAAUUCCCUUUUCCUUCUCUCUCUCUUGUUCUUAAUUUCUUCCUUCUAUUGUAAAUAAACCACCAUAAAUUCCAUUCUGACUUGAGUAUUUCAUUGAGAUUUAGAAUUUAAAUCCCUGGCGACCAACUAAAAUUAUAUUCAGUCUCAACCCUAAAAUUUACCCCUUACAAUCUAUCUAUCUAUCUAUCUAUCUAUCUAUCUAUCUAUCUAUCUAUAUGUUAAAGUCGAUAUUACAGCAUCUUUCAUAGCCAUGUCAUCUUGGGCAAGUCAUCUUAUUUCUGUGAUCUUUGGCUUCCUCAGCUGCAACCUAGUGAUAAUUAGUCCAACAAACUUCCUUUAUGGUUGAGAGAAAACAUUGAAAUGCAAAAUAAAUGUAGGUGGUGGUGGUGGUGGUUACUCAUCUCCUAACAUAUUACACCUGAAAGGUCUGAAUGUGUAUAUGAAACACUAUAAACUACCACAAUGCCAUUAUUCUUGCAUGUUGUGGCUUUGUCUCAUCGGUUGUUGUAGCUCAUCUCCUGUAAAUAGAAGUCAUGGAUAUGUGUGGAUACAAAUGCACAUGCACACAUGUGAUUAAAGCAUUGGCUGUCAGUUUCAUGUCAGAUUUUAAAAUGUUUUUAUGAUUUUUUACUGUUCACUGCAAAUUUGUAAGUGUUUCUAUCAGCUUAAUCCUGCAAAUGAAAGCCAAAUAUCUGUUUCUUUUAACUCUUGUAAUUGAUGUCAUCUUCUUCCUAAACAUGAAAGGACACAUUUUUUUUCAGACGUCUGGGACAUGGCUGAACACUUGCACAUGUUUUUCAUCUACUCCCUAUCAGAGAAUGAGCCUUUUGUUAGUAUUCCUCUCUUACUAUCAUCAUUAUAUAAAAAAUAAUUUUAUAUUAUCAGCAUGGAAUCUAGAAGCCCCCAAACUUGUAACUUAGAAAGCCUUAAUGAUGCCCCAGUUUACUUAGCUUGAAGGUGAAAGCCCCAAGUUUGACAUUGUCACAUGAGUUUUUCCCUGAGGGAAGUUCAACUUCCCUAGUCUCAGACUGACAAUAGACCUUAAAGGAGUUUAAGUGGAGAUGACUAAUCCCAUCAGGUGGUAAGUAUCUCUUUUGUCCCACUGGUUUCUCCCCUUUGGCCAAAGCCCUUUACCAAGAUGGCUGUAGCAAAGGAAGGUAAAAGUAGCAAGAGUAUGAUUGACAGGCCUGGAUUCCAAGAGCCACUGGGUCAGGAUUCUAAGCUGUUGAAAGGAGCAGGUUUCCAACUGUCAGUCUGGAGCUGAAAGUGAAGCCUGAAAGGUGAAGAUCUGAUCUCUCCUGGACAUCUUGCAAACAGUCUCUUUGAAUACCAUCAAACACAGGUGAGAGGGAAUUGUCUAUACCCUCUGGUGGACAGAGUGGAAACUUGGAGGAACCUCUAUUUCCUGGGACAUCUAAGGACUCAGCUGGAUUCCUGUACCUGACCCACCAAGGACUCUCUGUGUGUGAUAAAUCUGGUUCCCUGUUGAACUUACCCUUAGGAAACUUAGGUAUUUAGUUUAGGGUAGUUAGAAAGUGAGUUUAAUAACUGGCAUAAGUCAGAUGCAACCCCUUCCCCUUAUCCUCCCUUACCUUUCCCUUCUUUGUUAAUAAAUUAAUUUUAUUUAUAUGUGAUUCUUCCCUUGUGUAUAACCUUCCUUUCCCAUUUCCUAAAAAUCAUAAUAACAUGGCCCAACCCUUGGCUGGGUCUUUCCCUUUUGUGUCCAUUGUAAGGCAUCAGUCCCUCACUGUUAUUUCUGUUUGGGACUCUUCAUUUUCCCUUGUUACCAUUGUAAAGCUAGUCAACUGUCCCUCUCAUCCUCAGUCCUCAUGUUCCCCUAGAAAGGUAUUUAGGCUUCCCAACCUUAAUGGCUCCAUGGAAUUGUCCAAUCUAUCAUGGUUGGGUGUUUCUAGAGAUCAGUGCCCAGAGCAACCAGAGCUCAGUCCUCAGUUCUUAACUCUGUGUAGGUGUGUGGUGCCCAGCUCUGCAUGGAGGCCUAAUUCAGCACUGAACCCCCUUCCUUAAUUAAAGAGUGGCUUUUCUGACUAUUUAAUCUGUUUUUUUUUCAGUUGACAAUAUGAACAUAUUGUGCAUUACAGUUUAUGAAAUGCUUUCACAUUUACUAUUUCAUUUAAUCUUUACAACAUUACUUUGAAGGUGGGGAGGGCAUAUAAUCCCAUUUUAUAGAAGAGAAAAAUGAAACUUAAAGAAAUUGGAUGACUCAAGUUAUAGGAAACAAGACUGAGAUGGAGGUAUAGAGGCCUUAAGCAAUGAGAUGAUGAGUGUGUAUUUUAGUCUGGAGUCAAUAGAGAGCAUUUGAAGACUUUUGAGUAAGAGAGUGAUGCAAUUAGAAUAUUGUUUUAGGAAGUGUCAACAUGGAAUCUAGAAAAGCCCAAACUUGUGGCCUAGAAAGAUUUGAUGAACCCCAGUUUACUUAGCUUAAAAGUUUGACCUUGUCACAAGAGAGUUCCUCCCUGAGGGAAAGUCCUAUUUCACUGGUCUCAAACUAUCAAUAGACUUUAAGAUAGUGGGAAUAGCUAAUCCCAUCAGGUGGUAAAUAUCUUUUGUCCCACUGGUUUCUCCUCUUUGACCAAAGUCCUUUACCAAGGUGUCCCAGCCCUUGGCUGGGUCUUUUCCUUUUGGGUCCAUCAUAAAACAUCAGCCCCUCCCUGUUAUUCCUGUCUGGGACUCCUAAUUUUCCUUUGUUACCAUUGAAAAGUCAAUCAACUAUCCCUGUCAUCCUCAGCCCCCAUGUUCCCCUAGAAAAGUAUAUAAGCUUGCCCACUUUAAUGGCUCCUUGGAGUUGUCAAUCUAAUGAGGUUGGCUCUCCCAGGGGUCUGUGUCCAGAGCAUCCAGAGUUCAAUCCUUGGACUCUGUGUGGGUGUUAGUGCACAGCUCUGUGUGGAGGCUUACUAUUACACUGAACCCCUUUUCCUUGAUUAAAGAGUGAUUUUUCUGACUAUUUAAUAGUCCUGUGUUUUUUUCCAAGUCAAGAGAAGGUCAUUUUGGCAGCUGUGAGAGAAGGGAGAGACUGGAAGCAAAGAGAUUUUUGCCAUAGACUUGAUGAGAGGUGGUAUGGACUAUUGGGAGGUAGUAGGCUGUAAGGGUGGAGGGAAGACAAUUGAUUGGAGAUAGAAUUGACAAGAUUUGCCAACUGAUUAGAUGUGAGGAAUGAGGGAGAUAUAAGAAAGAAUGAUGACUUAGAAGCAGUGAAGUUUGGUGUUCAGUACUUAAUAAUAAGUAGUUUGCCCUUAAAAAAAAAAAAGCAAAGUUGGACUAGAUUAAUUUAUGUUGUAAUAAUUUUUCAGUCACUUCUGAUUUCAUAAUACCAUUUGGGGUCUUCUUGGCAGAGAUACUGGAAAGGUUUGCCAUUUCCUUUUCCAGCUCAUUUUAUAGCUGAGGAAACUCAAGGGAAACAGGGUAAGUUACCCAGGGCCACACAGCUAAUAAUUGUCUGAAUCUGGAUUUGAAUUCAUGUCCUUCUGACUCCAGGCUUGGUGUUCUGUCCACUGCACCACCCAGCUGCCCUAUAUUUGACUAUUUGUCCAUGCUAAUUUUCAAAAGCAUAGUUUAAAGGUAUAAAGAUGGAUGUGAGGUUUCCUUUUCCUUCUAAUACCCCACCCUAAAUAAUCAAAACAAACUUCACUGAAUCAGUACUUAAAAGCAGCAAAAACAGAUAGUAGUCUGAAGUGAAGAGCCAGGGACAAUUAGGGAGAAAGGUUUGUGACUUCCCUGGCCUUAGUCCCACUGCAGGCUCUGCAAGCAAGACCAGCAACCUCACCUUAUUUGAACCUUGGAGCUUGCAUCCCAAAGGAUAUCACUGGAAUCAGCAGGCAGAAGGUCUUUGGAGCAGGCUGCUGACAGAGCUGGGGAUUGAAGGAGUGGACACCACAGCAUCCAUAGGCACCAGGGCCUGAGGGCAAGAUCUCAAGCCUUGCUGCUAAAAAUUGUGGAGACUUUGGAGAACCAUUGAAUGGGGACUAGACACCUGCUCUAUCCUGGGCUGAGGCAAUAAGAGAGCAGGAGUGAGGAAGGAACCAGUGAGUAUGGUUGCUGAGGGACUGGGGCCUUAUCAACUGUGAUCCCUGGUUGAUGCCAUGGGGACUGUCUGCUUUCAGUUGCAGUGGCAGAACUGCCUGCUGGUUCUGGUUGGUGCAGUAGAGAUUGCUUAUGGACUGGGGCUUGAGCUAUUAAAGAGACAGAAGAUCUUGUUUCAAACCCAGAAGCAGUGAAGUAAAAACACCUGCUUCCAAAACAUUUAAGAAAUACAAUAAAGAGCUUUAAAAAGACCUCAAAAACCAAAUAAGAAAAGUUGAGGAAAAAUUAGGAAAAAGAAUAAGAGCAAUAAAAGAUAAUCAAGAAAUAUUAUGAAAGAUCACCCAAAUGGAAAAGAGAUUCAGAAAGUUAACAGAAGUAAUUUAAGAACAAGAAUUAGACAAGGGGAAGAUAAUGAUUUCCUAAAAUAACAAGAAAUAAUUAAGCAAAAUUUAAAGAAUGAAAUAAUAGAAGAGAACAUGAAACAACUUGCCACAAAAACAGUUGACCUGGAAAAUAGAUCAAGAAGAGACUAUAAGAAUAGUUGAAUUCCUAAAACAUUAUGAUUUUUAAAAAAAGAGUUUAGACACCAUACUCCAAUAAAUCAUCCAGAAAAACUGCCUAGAAAUUCUAGAGUCAGAAAGUAAAAUAGAAGUUGAAAGAAUCCACCAAUCACCAUCUCAAAGAUACCCAAAGAUGAAAAUGCAUAAGAACACCAUUACUAAGUUUCAAAGCUCCCAGGUUAAGGAGAAAAUAAGCAACAAAGAAAAAAAAAUCAUUAUAGUGGUACAAUCAGAAUAACACAAGGCUUAGCAGCCACAACAUUAAAAGAAUGCAAUACAUGGAACACGAUAUUUUGUAGAGCAAAAGAACUGGGUUUACAUUCAAGAAAAGCUGAGCAUAAUUAUUCAAGGUAAAAAAUGGAUAUUUAAUGAACUUAAUGGGGUUUCAGCUAUUCCUAGGGGAAAAACCCAGAACUUGGUAAAAAAUUUGAUUUAUAAGAAACAUUCAAGGGUAAUAAUGAAAGACCAAUUAUAAGCAAACCCAAAGGUCAAAUUGAUUGAUUCUUGUAUAGGAAAAUGUCAUCUGUCCCUCCUGGAAAUGUCAUUGUUGCCUGAGUAUUUUGAAGAGGCCUCUAGGGAUGCAUGAUAAGAGGUGAAGGUGAAUGCAGUGGAAUAAACCAAAAUGGUGUGGAGUAGAACUGGAGGUAUUAGGGUGGAACAGCUAUCUCACAUGUAGAAUAAAUGAAUGGAGAAACUGCCAAGGAGAAGGGAAAGAGGAGGGGAGAGCUGGUAGUACAAGAACUCUACUCUCAUCAGAUCUGGGAUAAAGAGAGAACAACAUGCACAUUUAGAAAGGUAAAAAUCUUAAUGUAUAUAAGAACAGAAGGGGAGGAGGAUGGGAUAAGGAAAAGACUGGAAGUCCUCCUGGGGGACUGAGAGACUAAUAGGAGAAAGAGUGAAUUAGGAGAAAGGAGAGCAAGGGGAUAACAAAGAGGGAUACCUAGAGGGGAAGAAAUAGCAAGAGGUAGCGGGGUAAGGUGAGGAAAUAAGGGAGAAACUCAGGACAAGAUAGGGGAGGAAUUUUUAGAACUGAACUCAUAUUAAGAAGUAGGAGGGCAUGGUUGGGGAGAUAAGGAAGGGACUUUUGUAAAGGUGGGUAGAAUAAGAAUUAUGAAGAUUAAAUUAAGUCUCUCCCAUGAUUGUGAAGAUUAAAUUAACUCUCCCACCCAUUUUUAGAUUUAAUUACCAAAAGUAUAAACAUCCCACUUAAUCAUUAAGUGGGAGAGGUCUGUGACCCAUGUGUGUAAUAGUGGGUGAUGAAUCAGAAUCAAACUGACUGCCGCCUGGGCAGUUCUAAGCAAAGCUUCAACUGUAAUUGGUAGACUUAAAAGUGGAGGAAGGCAAACAAAGUGACACAAAAGAUAGUGCCUUUAAAAGGAGUUACAACUUCCUGUGGAGAUUUGGGCUUCUUCUGGAGUUCUGAGUUUGAGUUAGAGGCUGGUGAAGAAUCUGCUGACUGGACCUGAGACCCUAUUCCUGGUAAGACUGUUAUUAAAUUUCUCCCUUUGGAUUGA